rnacentral:rRNA from 1 species
GACGAACGCUGGCGGCGUGCCUAAUACAUGCAAGUAGGACGCAGUUGCGAACGGGUGAGUAACGCGUAGGUAACUACCUAUUAGAGGGGGAUAACUACUGGAAACGAUAGCUAAUACCGCAUACUAGUAGCUGGCCCUGCGUUGUAUUAGCUAGUAGGUAGGGUAAUGGCCUAACGAGGCAACGAUACAUAGCCGACCUGAGGGAGUGAUCGGCCAAAGUGGGAAUGAGGCAAGGCCCAGACUCCUACGGGAGGCAGCAGUAAGGAAUCUUCGGCAAUGGGGGGAACCCUGACCGAGCAACGGCGCGGGAGUGAAGAAGGUUUUCGGAUCGUAAAGCUCUGUUGUUAAGGAAGCGGUACUUAACCAGAAAGGGACGGCUAACUACGUGCCAGCCGCCGCGGUAAUAC